rnacentral:rRNA from 1 species
GAUGAACGCUGGCGGCGUGCUUAACACAUGCAAGUCGAACGAAGCAUUUAAGACAGAUUACUUCGGUUUGAAGUCUUUUAUGACUGAGUGGCGGACGGGUGAGUAACGCGUGGGUAACCUGCCUCAUACAGGGGGAUAGCAGCUGGAAACGGCUGGUAAUACCGCAUAAGCGCACAGUACCACAUGGUACAGUGUGAAAAACUCCGGUGGUAUGAGAUCGACCCGCGUCUGAUUAGCUUGUUGGCGGGGUAACGGCCCACCAAGGCGACGAUCAGUAGCCGACCUGAGAGGGUGACCGGCCACAUUGGGACUGAGACACGGCCCAGACUCCUACGGGAGGCAGCAGUGGGGAAUAUUGCACAAUGGAGGAAACUCUGAUGCAGCGACGCCGCGUGAGUGAAGAAGUAGUUCGCUAUGUAAAGCUCUAUCAGCAGGGAAGAUAGUGACGGUACCUGACUAAGAAGCUCCGGCUAAAUACGUG